rnacentral:snRNA from 1 species
GGAUGUGAGGACAGUCUAGCUAAGACAUCAUCACCUCACUUGUCACCAGGGUUGAUUUAGCUAAUCUGGCUAUGUGGGCAGUUUCCCCUUCCUCCCUUAUCACUGCACAUCAUCUUCCCCUCUCCUGAAGCUGCAAGGCCUUCCCUGAAGAAAGGAGCACCGCUCAAGGGUAUCGGAGUAGCUGCACUCCCCUCUAGAACUUCCAAAGCUCACCCGGUAGUCCAGGCAGAUCUUCCUGCUUUAGCCUACCAGGUAGCUUGGCUAACAGGCCUGCCCUG